rnacentral:rRNA from 1 species
CCUACGGGGGGCAGCAGUGAGGAAUAUUGGUCAAUGGGCGCGAGCCUGAACCAGCCAAGUAGCGUGAAGGAUGACUGCCCUACGGGGUGUAAACUUCUUUUAUAAAGGAAUAAAGUGAGGCACGUGUGCCUUUUUGUAUGUACUUUAUGAAUAAGGAUCGGCUAACUCCGUGCCAGCAGCCGCGGUAAUCCGGAGGAUCCGAGCGUUAUCCGGAUUUAUGGGGUUUAACGGGCGCGUAGAGGGGUUGUUAAGUCAGUGGUGACAGUUUGCGGCUCAACCGUAAAAUUGCAAUUGAUACUGGCAGCCUUGAGUACAGUUGCGGUAGGCGGCCUUCGUGGUGUAGCGG